AUUGAACGCUGGCGGCAGGCCUAACACAUGCAAGUCGAGCGAGCGGCGGACGGGUGAGUAAUGUCUGGGAAACUGCCUGAUGGAGGGGGAAAACUAUCGGAAACGGUAGUUAAUACCCCAAACAACAAGAUGUGCCCAGAUGGGAUUAGCUAGUUGGUGGGGUAACGGCUCACCUAGGCGACGAUCCCUACCUGGUCUGAGAGGAUGACCAGCCAAACUGGAACUGAGACACGGUCCAGACUCCGACGGGAGGCAGCAGUGGGGAAUAUUGCACAAUGGGCGCAAGCCUGAUGCAGCCAUGCCGCGUGUAUGAAGAAGGCCUUCGGGUUGUAAAGUACUUUCAGCGGGGAGGCGUUACCCGCAGAAGAAGCACCGGCUAACUCCGUGCCAGCAGCCGCGGUAAUUC
rnacentral:rRNA from 1 species